rnacentral:rRNA from 1 species
GACGUAGGGCGCAAGCGUUGUCCGGAUUUAUUGGGCGUAAAGAGCUCGUAGGCGGCCUGUCGCGUCGACCGUGAAAACCCCGCAGCUCAACUGCGGGCUUGCGGUCGAUACGGGCAGACUAGAGUGCGGUAGGGGGAGACUGGAAUUCCUGGUGUAGCGGUGGAAUGCGCAGAUAUCAGGAGGAACACCGGCGGCGAAGGCGGGUCUCUGGGCAGUAACUGACGCUGAGGAGCGAAAGCGUGGGGAGCGAACAGG